rnacentral:rRNA from 1 species
UACGAAGGGGGCUAGCGUUGCUCGGAAUCACUGGGCGUAAAGGGUGCGUAGGCGGGUCUUUUAAGUCAGGGGUGAAAUCCUGGAGCUCAACUCCAGAACUGCCUUUGAUACUGAAGAUCUUGAGUUCGGGAGAGGUGAGUGGAACUGCGAGUGUAGAGGUGAAAUUCGUAGAUAUUCGCAAGAACACCAGUGGCGAAGGCGGCUCACUGGCCCGAUACUGACGCUGAGGCACGAAAAGCGUGGGGAGCAAACAGGGAU